rnacentral:rRNA from 1 species
AUUGAACGCUGGCGGCAGGCCUAACACAUGCAAGUCGAGCGGAUGAGGGGUGCUUGCACCCCGAUUCAGCGGCGGACGGGUGAGUAAUGCCUAGGAAUCUGCCCGAUCGUGGGGGACAACGUUUCGAAAGGAACGCUAAUACCGCAUACGUCCUACGGGAGAAAGUGGGGGCUCUUCGGACCUCACGCUAUCGGAUGAGCCUAGGUCGGAUUAGCUAGCUGGUGGGGUAAAGGCUCACCAAGGCGACGAUCCGUAACUGGUCUGAGAGGAUGAUCAGUAACACUGGAACUGCGACAAGGUCCAGACUCCUACGGGAGGCAGCAGUGGGGAAUAUUGGACAAUGGGCGAAAGCCUGAUCCAGCCAUGCCGCGUGUGUGAAGAAGGUCUUCGGAUUGUAAAGCACUUUAAGUCGGGAGGAAGGGCUGUAGGUUAAUACCUUGCAGCCUUGACGUUACCGACAGAAUAAGCACCGGCUAACUUCGUGCCAGCAGCCGCGGUAACAC